rnacentral:SRP_RNA from 1 species
CGGCAGGCUAGGCCGGGUGGUCAGCCCUCACCUGUUACCGCAAACGGGCUUUACGGCGGGGCUGAAGCUUUGGAAGAGGCUCAUUGCUUUGCCGUUGGUCUCAGCUUGGACGAUGAGGUUCUGUCCCAUUGGGCUUGUUUUUUCGGGAAAUGAGUCAGGUCAGGAAUGAAGCAGCUCUAACUGAUUAAACAGGCGCUUUUGGGGUAGCGGAGCUAAGGACAGGCUGGGGUUAAGCCAAUGGCUCGGCUUUGAGUCCAUUCCUGGGCGCGCCUGCCG